rnacentral:rRNA from 1 species
GUAGGGAAUCUUGCACAAUGGGCGAAAGCCUGAUGCAGCCAUGCCGCGUGAAUGAUGAAGGCCUUAGGGUUGUAAAAUUCUUUCGUCAGGGAUGAUAAUGACCGUACCUGAAGAAGAAGCCCCGGCUAACUUCGUGCCAGCAGCCGCGGUAAUACGAAGGGGGCUAGCGUUGUUCGGAAUUACUGGGCGUAAAGCGCACGUAGGCGGACUUUUAAGUCAGGUGUGAAAUCCCGGGGCUCAACCUCGGAACUGCAUUUGAAACUGGAAGUCUUGAGAUCAGGAGAGGUUAGCGGAAUACCGAGUGUAGAGGUGAAAUUCGUAGAUAUUCGGUGGAACACCAGUGGCGAAGGCGGCUAACUGGACUGAUACUGACGCUGAGGUGCGAAAGUGUGGGGAGCAAACAGGAUUAGAAACCCCAGUAGUCC